rnacentral:rRNA from 1 species
GACGAACGCUGGCGGCGUGCCUAAUACAUGCAAGUUGAGCGAUGAAGCUUGGUGCUUGCACCAAUUUGAAGAGCAGCGAACGGGUGAGUAACGCGUGGGGAAUCUGCCUUUGAGCGGGGGACAACAUUUGGAAACGAAUGCUAAUACCGCAUAACAACUUUAAACAUAAGUUUUAAGUUUGAAAGAUGCAAUUGCAUCACUCAAAGAUGAUCCCGCGUUGUAUUAGCUAGUUGGUGAGGUAAAGGCUCACCAAGGCGAUGAUACAUAGCCGACCUGAGAGGGUGAUCGGCCACAUUGGGACUGAGACACGGCCCAAACUCCUACGGGAGGCAGCAGUAGGGAAUCUUCGGCAAUGGACGAAAGUCUGGCCGAGCAACGCCGCGUGAGUGAAGAAGGGUUUCGGAUCGUAAAACUCUGUUGGUAGAGAAGAACGUUGGUGAGAGUGGAAAGCUCAUCAAGUGACGGUAACUACCCAGAAAGGGACGGCUAACUACGUG